AACUGAAACAUCUAAGUACCCGGAGGAAGAGAAAAUAAUUAAUGAUUCCGAUAGUAGCGGCGAGCGAAAUCGGAAGAGCCCAAACCAAUCUUGUUUCGGCAAGGUUGGGGUUGUAGGACCACGAUGUGAGAUGUUCCACGAAUUAGAAUCAACUGGAAAGUUGAACCAUAGAGGGUGAUAGUCCCGUAUAGGUAAGUGCGAAUUAUUUCUAGUGGUAUCCUGAGUAGGGCGGGACAUGUGAAAUCCUGUCUGAAUCUGUCAGAACCAUCUGAUAAGGCUAAAUACUCCUGCAAGACCGAUAGUGAACUAGUACCGUGAGGGAAAGGUGAAAAGUACCCUGAAUAAGGGAGUGAAAUAGAUCCUGAAACCGUUUGCUUACAAGCGGUCGGAGCAUCUUUAAGGUGUGACGGCGUGCCUUUUGCAUAAUGAUCCUACGAGUUACUCGUCACUGGCAAGGUUAAGGACUUCAGGUCCGCAGCCGAAGCGAAAGCAAGUCUGAAUAGGGCGUAUAGUCAGUGGCGGUAGACGCGAAACCGAGUGAUCUACCCAUGGGCAGGUUGAAGCUCUGGUAACACAGAGUGGAGGACCGAACCGGUUGAUGUUGAAAAAUCUUCGGAUGACCUGUGGGUAGGGGUGAAAGGCCAAUCAAACUCGGAAAUAGCUCGUUCUCCCCGAAAUGCUUUUAGGAGCAGCGUUAUGUUAUAGAGUAGUAGAGGUAGAGCUACUGGUUGGAUGCGGGGGCUUCAUCGCCUACCAAAUCCUGUCAAACUCCGAAUGCUACUACUUGUUUCA
rnacentral:rRNA from 1 species